GGAUGAACGCUGGCGGCGUGCCUAAUACAUGCAAGUCGAACGCUUUGUGGUUCAACUGAUUUGAAGAGCUUGCUCAGAUAUGACGAUGGACAUUGCAAAGAGUGGCGAACGGGUGAGUAACACGUGGGAAACCUACCUCUUAGCAGGGGAUAACAUUUGGAAACAGAUGCUAAUACCGUAUAACAAUAGCAACCGCAUGGUUGCUACUUAAAAGAUGGUUCUGCUAUCACUAAGAGAUGGUCCCGCGGUGCAUUAGUUAGUUGGUGAGGUAAUGGCUCACCAAGACGAUGAUGCAUAGCCGAGUUGAGAGACUGAUCGGCCACAAUGGGACUGAGACACGGCCCAUACUCCUACGGGAGGCAGCAGUAGGGAAUCUUCCACAAUGGGCGAAAGCCUGAUGGAGCAACGCCGCGUGUGUGAUGAAGGGUUUCGGCUCGUAAAACACUGUUGUAAGAGAAGAAUGACAUUGAGAGUAACUGUUCAAUGUGUGACGGUAUCUUACCAGAAAGGAACGGCUAAAUACGUGCCAGCAGCCGCGGUAAUACGUAUGUUCCAAGCGUUAUCCGGAUUUAUUGGGCGUAAAGCGAGCGCAGACGGUUAUUUAAGUCUGAAGUGAAAGCCCUCAGCUCAACUGAGGAAUUGCUUUGGAAACUGGAUGACUUGAGUGCAGUAGAGGAAAGUGGAACUCCAUGUGUAGCGGUGAAAUGCGUAGAUAUAUGGAAGAACACCAGUGGCGAAGGCGGCUUUCUGGACUGUAACUGACGUUGAGGCUCGAAAGUGUGGGUAGCAAACAGGAUUAGAUACCCUGGUAGUCCACACCGUAAACGAUGAGUGCUAGGUGUUUGAGGGUUUCCGCCCUUAAGUGCCGCAGCUAACGCAUAAGCACUCCG
rnacentral:rRNA from 1 species